CGGCGGCGCGCGCACCCUCGCGGCUCGCCCGCCCGGGCCGGCCGUGCACUUGUCUUCGCGCUCGGGCCGGGCGCGGGGCUCCGCGGCGGCGGCCGUCUCGUCUCGGCCGGUCUGCCAGCUCGUGGGAGCACAGAUCCACUCUAAAGACCACUGCGAUCUGAGCUGUCAGCAGCCGGCCUCCUGGGGCCCUGCCCCCCCUGCACCCCGUGUCUGUCCUCACAGGCCGAGGGGGAAGCCAGGUGGCCACAGCCACUGCCAGCCAUGUGGUAGCCCAGUGGGACCAAAGGGGACAGGCCCUUUGUUGGUGGCUCAUCAGGGAGACCCCUGCACCCCAGGGCUCGCACCUCCUCCUCCAGAGCAGGGCCUGAGGGCUCAGCGGGCUGCCACGGCGAGGCC
rnacentral:lncRNA from 1 species